GACAAAGUUUAGAGAAGACCUCAAAAUCCCAGCACUCUGGUUAAGAGUUCAUUGAAGUACCAGUAUCUAGAAUGACCCACUCAGCUCAGGUGACAACUAUUCUAUGAUUGUUAAAUAGCAAAAAGGAAGAAGAAUUUGCUCAUUGAAGGGCAAAGUAGAACCAGUGUAAUGCCAUCUAUCUUCUACAAUAGACCUCCAAAUGUUUGAAGACAGCUAUCGUAUCUACCCUCAAUCUCUUCUUUAGAAGUUCAUUUCCAUCCAGCCUCAGACACAUAAUACUAACUAGCUGCAUGACCCUGGAGACUGGUGACAAGGGAUUAGCAGUCAAUUCUUUCAGUAUCUUGGGACACAGGUUAUUUGGGUCUGAAAACUUGAACUCUCUGAUUAAAACUAUGCACUCUUCCUCUCCCACCCCACAAAUGACUAUGUGAGUUUGGAGAUUCUGAGGUCCCAUCAGGGGUCUUACUGGUGACCCAAGUUGGUAGAGGAGUCCACCAGAGUACUAAUAUUAGCUACAGGGGUCAGUAACCAAAAAGCACCCUUUAGAUGGAUAUACCAAGGCACCAGUCCUCAGAUGCCAGAAGAGAGGUGCACCUAAGAGGGACUUCAUGAAGAUUCCAGAAAAGGAAAAGGACCCUGAGAAACCAGGAGUUGUAAGUUUAUCCUUUGGCCUCACUUUGGCCAUGUGCCUCUCUACCCUCAUACUCUAAGUAGAAAUCCAUUCUCUCCAUGGACCUUAUUACGUGCAGGUGGAGAGUGUACUCCUCUUUUGGAGGGGAAUGUUUUUGUAACUACUACUGCUUUUGAUAAACCUCAUAAGUACCCUUUCCGAAAAGCGAAUUGAGGCUACAGGCUGAAUGGAAAGUGCAUCAGUGGAGUGCCCAGUGCAGCAAAGCUAGAAACUCAGAAGAAGAACUUUGAGCAAUAAGUCAGAAGCCUCCAGGGAUGCAGCCAGCCCGUAAGAGCAGGAGCUGAGGAGUGGCCCUGAUAGGGACGCUACAAUAGAAAUAAUAGCUAGCAAUUAUGUAGCGCCCUAAGGUUUGCAAAGCCUUUACAAUUAUUACCUUAAAGAAACAAGGACCCUUUUUAAAAAGUUGGAAAUUUGAGUAAAUCUGCCAGAAACGCCAAAGCAACGGCCAAAGACAGGCAAAGAGCAAAGCCAGGGAAGGUUGGAGGGAGAACUCAUUAAACUAAAAGAUCCACAAACAUUUCUUACCAGCCGGGUACUGUGCCGCUGGAGGGGAGGGAUAGGAAAACCGAAGAGCUUACAUCCUGAUGCUAUGUGCACAAAUAAGUAUACACGAAAUAAAUAAAUGAUCUUGAGGGAGAGAAUGGACCUUUGGGGACUUUUCCAGGAAUUAGUCCUUUUUAAAGUGCAUUUGUGGUGGCACAAGGCCGGAAUA